CGGGGCCACACCCUGGACAGUUUGCCAAGUCUUCAACUGUAUCCUAUGUGGAAACAGAGGCUUAUGAAAGGGGGGAGGAAUGCAGCAGGACACAGGAUGCUGUCUCCUUGUCCGAUGCCCUUGGCGUGCAGCUUUGCAGUGUGAACUCCCAUAAGACCUCUCUUUGUUCUCAGAAGAUGAGGCCUGGCAGAGUGUGACCACACACUUACCUGAAGCCAUCAAAAGCAGAUGGAAUUACACUUUUGUACCAUACAAUGCCAUUGGCUUUUAUCCCGCAGGCCAAGACAGUCCAGUGAAAAAUACGACACACCUUUUACUCAAAUGAAGAAAUCAACUGUCAGUCACUGGCCGUUUAAAAAACAACAACCUAGAAAUCUGCAUGUGUAGAUACAUAAAUGGCAAAUUGAAUGUCAGAUCUCAAUCUCGUCGGAAUGCAUAUUUUGACAUUUACAUCAAAGAAAUGCGAGAUGUGUUAUGAAACUGCAAACCACAGCUGUAAUUACUGAGAUUAAUUGUGCAACUGUUACACAAGAAAUAUUGAAAUAUUGAUUAAGGGCGGUGACAGAAAAUCAACAGCAGAUUAAUGACACUUUGCAGCAACAAUGACAGCCUUGUUUUUUUUUGUUUUCCCAUUUGCAUAUUACAUUUGAGAGAGCCCUGUCACGGUCUCCCUGUCACUGACAGACAGACCACAAUAACGCGUUAGUGUUUGUGUCUCAGUUAAUAAAAUCCAGCGAAAAGUAACAAGAGUAAAAAAAAAACCUUGUAGAUAAGACAGACAGCGAUGUGUCCUAUAUCCUGUGUCCCACAUCUUUCUCUCAGAGGAGCAGGGAGAGAUAAGACAGAGGAGUGAGACUGGAAGGCAGACGAGAGGGUGAGGCAGGGGCCAGUGUUGGAUAAACAUACACAGACAGAGCUACAGUAUAUCCCGACAAAUCAAUGAGAGAGGGACGGCGAGUAUUUUGCAGUUAUCAGUUAAUAGUCUUGAUUUGUCCAACUCCACAUGCAUGUGCUAGAGUAGGAGGACAAAAUUAGGGUUUUGUAUUUUCCAAUGGAAACAUAAUAGACAUAUUAUUUGUUUUUUAAUGAUUCAAGAAGGGCUUCGAUUUCCCAAAGGCCAACAUCAGUGUUUUCUUGUUUUUGUUUUCUUUCUGGCAGAGUACUGAAAAUCCAAAGGUUACAAUUAUAAUUAUUAUUAUUAUUAUUGUUGUUGUUGUUAUUAAUAAUAAUAACAAUAAUAUUAAUAACAUUUGCAAAGCUUUGUCACCUUGUUAGCAGCACAUUCAGACGAGUGAUUUAUUUAAGUAUCCUAUAUAAAACAAGCUCUUUGAUGCUU